rnacentral:rRNA from 1 species
UACGUAGGUGGCAAGCGUUGUCCGGAUUUAUUGGGUUUAAAGGGUGCGUAGGCGGUUCUAUAAGUCAGUGGUGAAAUCCGGCAGCUCAACUGUCGAUGUGCCAUUGAUACUGCAGAACUUGAGUACAGACGAGGUAGGCGGAAUUGACGGUGUAGCGGUGAAAUUCGUAGAUAUUCGCAAGAACACCAGUGGCGAAGGCGGCUCACUGGCCCGGUACUGACGCUGAGGUGCGAAAGCGUGGGGAGCAAACAGG